AAGCAGGGGAUCGCAAGACCUUGCGCUUUUGGAGCGGCCGAUGCCUGAUUAGCUAGUUGGUGGGGUAAGGGCCUACCAAGGCGACGAUCAGUAGUUGGUCUGAGAGGACGACCAGCCACACUGGGACUGAGACACGGCCCAGACUCCUACGGGAGGCAGCAGUGGGGAAUUUUGGACAAUGGGCGAAAGCCUGAUCCAGCAAUGCCGCGUGAGUGAAGAAGGCCUUCGGGUUGUAAAGCUCUUUCAGUCGAGAAGAAAAGGUCGCGACUAAUAAUCGCGACUCAUGACGGUAUCGACAGAAGAAGCACCGGCUAACUACGUGCCAGCAGCCGCGGUAAUACGUAGGGUGCGAGCGUUAAUCGGAAUUACUGGGCGUAAAGGGUGCGCAGGCGGCUUUGUAAGUCAGAUGUGAAAUCCCCGGGCUUAACCUGGGAAUUGCGUUUGAAACUACAAGGCUAGAGU
rnacentral:rRNA from 1 species